GCCCUCUCAGGAUCACGCCUGGAGAGUUUCCAGUUACUCUACCAGUCUUGGCCGUGGAAGGGAGAGUCAAGCAGAGGCAUAUUCAUUCCAUUCCUAGUUUGGGCAGUGGCUAGUGAGUGGAAGGCAAUCCGCUACAAAU